rnacentral:rRNA from 1 species
UAGGGAAUAUUGGACAAUGGGGGCAACCCUGAUCCAGCAAUGCAGCGUGAGUGACGAAGGCCUUAGGGUUGUAAAACUCUUUCAUCGGUGAGGAUAAUGACAGUAGCCGAAGAAGAAGGACCGGCUAAUUCCGUGCCAGCAGCCGCGGUAAUACGGAAGGUCCUAGCGUUGUUCGGAAUUACUGGGCGUAAAGCGCAUGUAGGCGGAACAGAAAGUUAGAAGUGAAAUCCCUGGGCUCAACCUAGGAAUUGCUUUUAAAACUUCUGUUCUGGAAUUCAGGAGAGGAAAAUGGAAUUUCCAGUGUAGAGGUGAAAUUCGUAGAUAUUGGAAGGAACACCAGUGGCGAAGGCGAUUUUCUGGACUGAUAUUGACGCUGAGAUGCGAAGGCAUGGGUAGCAAACGGG